CAGAGACUGCAAGCGUUAUUCGGAUUCACUGGGCGUAAAGGGUGCGCAGGCGGCCAAGUGUGUGAGGCGUGAAAGCCCGGGGCUUAACCCCGGAAUUGCACCUCAAACUACAUGGCUAGAGCAUUGGAGAGGGUAGCGGAAUUCACGGUGUAGCAGUGAAAUGCGUAGAUAUCGUGAGGAACACCAGAGGCGAAGGCGGCUACCUGGACAAUUGCUGACGCUCAGGCACGAAAGCGUGGGGAGCAAAAGGGAUUAGAUACCCCUGUAGUCCACGCCCUAAACGGUGCACACUAGGUCUUGGCGGAUUCGACCCCACCAGGGCCCAAGCUAACGCGUUAAAUGUGCCGCCUGAGGACUACGGCCGCAAGGCUA
rnacentral:rRNA from 1 species